rnacentral:tRNA from 1 species
CCCUGUGUGGCGCAAACGGGUAAGCAUUCACCUACUAACUGAAAGGUUGGUGGUUUGAAUCCACCCAGAGGCA